rnacentral:lncRNA from 1 species
AAAUCACUAACUAAAUUCACCCGUUAAAAACUAUCUUUAAAACCUUUUUACCGCUGAGCUCCCGGAAAUCAGAAGUCUCCCCGGCGAUUUCGCCAUCCCGGUACCCAUGCCGACCCCCACCUAUCCCUUUUACCCGUGCCCGAAAAUCUCGCCGCGUGCCGUUGUCAGACGCCAUGCGCGUGCCCCGACCGCGUGCCGUGAAUGCCGCCGGUCUCUUCCUUUUCUUUCUCUUUUUCAUCCCCAUUUUCCUUUUCUUUUUUCUCCUUCUUCUUUCUUCCUCUUUCUUCUUCUUCUCCCUCCUUCCUUCUUCUCUCUCCUUCUCUUCCUCCUUCCUGGUGCCCGAACCAAACUGGCCCUAGCUCCUUAACUCCGACGCCCCUGGCGCCACGCCGCCCGGUCCGCCGCUCGCCUAGGGUCUGCCGCUCGGCCCGGCCCCGCCGGUGUCGUGCCGGCCUCCUCGGACGGCGCGCCGCCCGCCAGCCCCUACCCCGGCUCCACCUCCGGCCCGGUCACGGCACCGGUGCCGUGCCGGCCACCGCCGGCCGGCCGCCCCUUCGAGCCGAGCCCCUACCGCCGCCGGCCCGUCCUGCCCGGACCCCCACCUUACCGCCACCGCCGGCCCCAAGCGGCACGCCACCGCACUGUGCCGCCGGCGCCCCUUGGUCCGGACCCCUACCCGCCGCCGGGCUAUAAAAGAGCCAUUCCGCCGGGCUCCCAUCGCCACACCCCACCGCCCAGCUCGCCACCGCCGCCCGCGCACCGCCGCCCAAGCCGCCGCCCGCGCACCGCUGCCUAAGCCGCCGCCCGUGCACCGCCGCCCGAGCCACCACCACCACCAAAAUACCAUCACCGGCCACCCCGUAUUCCGCGCCGAAACUCCAAGGUGAGGGGCCAAAUGGGCCUCCCUUCCACCCGCCGCCCCGGCCCGGGGCUCACCGCUGGCGGAGCCCCGCCGGCCGGCCGCCGCCGCCCCCCCCCCAACUCCUCAAUCUCUCUCUUCCCUUCCUGGAAGAAGAAGAGAUAAAACCUUUCAAUUUCGAUCCAACCCCCAAGUUUCCCCAAAUUACACAUAGGCCCCUCCACCUCCGAAAAUAAUUGCAAACAGGUCCCUGAUUUAUUAUAAAUCAGCCCUAAACCUCCAUUUAAGCCCCUAACCCGUGUUUAACCCGUCAUUUCAUGCACCAAACUCCCUGCAAUUAAUCCCAAAUUUUACCACGUCAUCCUCCAGAAUACUUUCGCCGAUCUAUAUCCAAAUUUCCCAAAAAUAAUCCUUCUACCUAUUUUCCGUGCACGUUUCCUGUUCGGAGCUCACGGUUAAAAAUCGUUUCCUCUUUUAUUUAUUUGUGUGUCUGUUUGUGUGUGCCGUAGAUCGCGGAUUGCCCGAGGAGGAGCCCGAGGAGGAGUUUGACCGCGAGCUCGAGCCCGAGGACCAGUACCGCGAGCCGGAACUCCCGGAAGGCUUUGAAGACGGCAAGUCCAAUCUCACCCUUUGAUGCAUACUUAAUACCUAGUUUUUCAAACACAACCUAUUGGCCUGUUUUACAAAAUGCAUAUUAUUUCACCGCAAGACAUGGUUGGAUAGCCACCCCUUGAUUGUUAUGAACAUUCCUUGUUGUCCUAUGCUUAUCUCUAAAUAUGACUCGCUCUGUUUAGAUGAUAGCCACUGCUAGAACGCUUAGGAAAUUGUUACUCAAAUGCAACCCUUAUUACAAUGGUGUAUUUGGAAAAUAAAUGUGGGUGUGUGUCCAAGUAAGAGAAAUGGCUUUUGGGGUUGGGGAAAAAGGAUGCGUAGACGGGAUGGAUGGGUGUUCCUCGUAUGGGAUGCCAUGUUGUUGUGCUCGUACCUUGGUGGUUGAGCAAUGUUGGGAGAUAUCCAUCUUGUCUUGAUUAAGGACCGAGUUGAUGUGUCAUCUUGCCUAAUUCCACUAUCGUGCAACCACUCGACCGUUGUAUGGGCAACGGCUUAGCAUAAAUCCCACUAGCUGAACUGUUAGUCCUCAGGGGUGCUGGUGAGCAACGGGAACCCAUGGAAAAGGAGUAAGAUCUUGGUGACUUAGGUCCCGGUUACGGUCUCAUGGACGAGCCGUGAACCCCUUGGGUGUUUCCGCGAGGGCUAGCCAGCCUUAGCUAAGGUGGGUAAUGGCUUUGUUAGGAUCCGUACCGUCACUAAGGUGACCGUGCUGCGGUACCCUACUUGUGGGAAAAGUGUACACCCUUUCCAGAGUUAAAACCUAUCCGGGUAGCCGUGUCCACGGCAUUGGACGAGUUACGGCUUGGUCACAUAACUAGUGUUUGGGCAAGAAUGUCAUGUGUGUGUGUGUGUGUGGAAUUUCAGAAGAGUCCGGCAGUUGUGCCGUGCGCUAUGACGGACGGGGAGUCCGAUAGCGUUAAAAACUUGGGUCCUUUGUGUAGGAUCCACCCCACUCCAUGUUUCGAUUAGUAAAGGAAAACUUUACAAAAACCCUUUCGAAAACGAUCCCCUGCAUGUGUUAAAAUCUAGCUUUUCCGCAAAUGAACUCUAGCCUAUCCUUGUUAUACUUGUGCAUAAACUUGCUUGUAUCCCCUCCGUGGAUGGGGUUGGACUUGUUGAGUACGUUAGUACUCACCCUUGCUUCAUUGCUACAGAGGAAGAACCCGAUUUCGUCGCCGAGGACCUCGAGUAGAGGUUGUGUCCGCACCCAACGCUGCCUGUGGAGUUGUCCUGCCCAAGAUGCUGCUGCUGCCGUGUAGUCCCGAGUGCUGUCUUUUGGCAGUCGCUUGGUUAGCCGCCGUUAUUUAUUUGCUGUUUAUCGCUGCGUGGCUUUCACGCCCACUCCCUCGAGAGUUGUACGGUAACUGAAUUAUCUGUCGAAUAAAUGUGUUAUCAGCCUCCUGGGACUGAUAUUUGGAUCACAUUUGGUCUCUACUUAUGUGGGGACACUUCAGGUGAUAUCAGAGCCGUCGUUGGCUGUAGGACGCAACCUUAGGACCGGAUUAGCCCUGUUUGACCAAAACAAAAGAAUUACAAAAUUUCUUCCUACCUUUGCUCUAUUGUAAAACUAAUUUGUGCCCCGGAUCUUUUCCAGAUGGCCGAGGAAGGAUUGUGGACCCACAGCCGUUGCACGGAGGAACCGGGUUUUCCCAAGCUACUACUGGUCUGCUUGAAGCGCCUCGGUAUCCGAGAGCCCCCGGAGUGUUCCAGCAGGGAAUACGAGCGCUACGGUAUUCCUCAGUGUGAAGUAAUCAUCCACAUUGGGAGGAGUGCUCGCUACCCCCAACAUCGAGCCACUCCAAGUGUCAGCCAUGGGAUUCCGACACCGAGACACCUACCUAGUAGCGGCUCGCAAAGCUCUCGGUUACCUAUGCCAGAUGUACGAGAUGCACCUUGAGCCCACAUCCAUGAGGUACUUUCCGCCCGCCGAAAAGGACCAUCCGGGUUGGAGAGCCCGAAUGAGGGCCUUGGAUGAACACGGACGGCGCGAAGAGGACACCACCAUAUAUUACAUGGCCGCCUACCUUGUUAGCUUGGAUAGACUCUAUGAUCAGCAAGCUGUGAAGCUGAGGCAACAGGUCUGUCAUGUCGAGAGGGCAGAGAUUCACAUAAGGAUGCUUCAAGCAAUGCUAAGGGAAUCAAGGGCACAAGUAGCAGCUGCUCGAAGUGCAGAAAGUGCAGCCAUGGAAGCCCUUAAGCGAGCUCAGAGUCAGCACCUCCAAGAGCUCAAGGAGGCGCAUCUCAGUGGAAUUACUAAAAGAUGGAUGGUCACCCCGGAAGCCGAAGAGCCUCCUGGCACUGAAGGAAAUCCUCUCGCUCUCGAGCACUGCAAGUACCAUGGUGCCCCAACCUCAUCAGUUGUCCCUUUUCCCGGUACUUCCAGAAGGGGCAUUGAUCUCACGGUGGGAGAAGCCGCAGAUUUCCCUCUCGAGUGCGAAGCAUGGAACAAGGACGAUGAGCCAUCCCUUCUCAUCCCAUUGGAGGAUCACUCAGUCCAGGGAGAAGACUCGCCCCGCGAGUAGUAUGCCCAGCCAGGAUUGCCCAAGGAAUGAAGCCGUCAUGGUCCGCAGUUUAGAGUUGUACCCUCUAGUUGAGUUGCUGUAACCGGUCGUGUAGUACGUGUUUUGGCCUUACCCCAGUAGUGUUGUACCCCCCCCCCGUGGCAAAAUAAAUAAAAUCACUUGUGUUUGUUGCUUGUUAGUCUGUGUGUUUGUCGACAGGAGGUGGAUUCUGUCUCUUCGAAAAUACGAAUUAACCACUUUAAAGAUCACUAAAAUCCAAAUCACACUCUCAUAAAGUCUCACUCAAUCUGCAGAUGCCACCCAAGCGUGCCACCAGGACUUCCCUAAGUCAGGCCCAUGCCACCCCCAGUGCAGAAAGGCAGCCAGAAAGGCAAGAACCGCCUCUGGCAGUGCUUCCUGAGGAGCAGGAAGUGAGCCAGCCAGAAGGAAGGGGAGAAAGUCAAGUGGGAACACAGCAGCCACCACCCCCACCGGUUAUUGAUCUGGUUCAAGUAAUGAACAACCAGACCCUCCUGCUGGAAGCUCUGGCCAACGCCAUUACUCGCCAAAGGCCCCGCGGGCAGAACAUGAAUGAGAAGUUGACGGACUUCCUCCGGACCAAGCCACCCACUUUUGGCGGGUCUGUCAACCCUCUGGACGCGGAUGACUGGCUGCGCGUCAUCCAGAGGAAGCUGGAACCCUUUGGGUGUGAGAGCAGGGACAAAGUCCUCUUGGCUGCCCACCAGCUCACUGGAACUGCCCUAGCCUGGUGGGAGAACUACUGCUCUGCCGCCCAGGAUGCCUCCACUAUCACCUGGGAUGAGUUCGUGACGGAAUUCCGUCGCUACCACAUUCCCGCCGCCACCAUGAAGCGCAAGGCGGAUGAGUUCCGUGAACUCCGCCAGGGCAACCGAUUUGUGGAGGAGUACACCUUCCAGUUCAUGGAGCUGGCCCGUUAUGCUCCGGAGGAGGUGGACAAGGAUGAGAAGAAGCAGGACAUAUUCAAGAAAGGCUUGAACGCGGAGCUGAGGACCCUACUCACUCCCCAGAUCUACCCCGACUUCAACACCUUGAUGAACAUGGCAAUCUUGACUGAGAGGGCCAAGGCAGAAGAGCGGAGGGACAACAAGCAUCGAUUCCUGGAAAACAAGGCGCACCAGCAGGACCGAUUCCAGAAGCCAAGGAGCUUCAGUCAUCCCUUGCCCAGAUCCCAAGCUCCCAUGCAUUAUCGGACCCAGUCCCAAACAUCUGGUUCGCAUCAGACUGCUGCCCCAUUCAGGAGCCAGAACUCUAUCAAGGCCCCACAGAGCAGCGCCAGCCAGGUCACCAGCAAUGGUAGGGCAUGCUUCACCUGCAGAGAGCCAGGGCAUUUCAUCGCCAACUGCCCCUAUGCCAACAAGUCAGCAGCAUCAGCCUUGUCCAACUCAGUAGCUGGGCCCAGGGCCGCAUUGUCAGGAGCCAACCAUGUGCCAGUCCGCAGCAGUGGCAACCCCAGCAACAACAACAGCCAGCAGAUGAGGCUGCCCCAGCAGUCAUUUGGACGAGCCCGCGUCAACCACAUCGGCGCGCAGGAGGCCCCGAAGCUCAGGGCGUGGUACUCAGUGAGUUCCUAGUCAGCUCAGUCUUGGCAACAGUACUUUUUGAUUCUGGAGCAUCACAUUCCUUCAUAUCCUCAAGUUUUGUGGAGAAACAUCAUAUACCUACAGUACUACUAAAGUUACCUGGAGCCGACAUUCAGUGUCGACUAGGCUGUUCUCGGGUAAGGAUCAAUUUAAGUGGGGUAGAGUUUCUAGCGGAUCUAGUAGUACUUAAGUCUAAGGGGAUAGAUGUGAUCCUUGGUAUGGACUGGUUAAGCCUGCAUGACAGUCAUAUAGGGUGUGCUGAUAAGGUGGUGCACUUGACCAAUUGAGAUGGUGUGCAAGUGACCUGUCACACUAAGGGAAGUGGCCCAGACCCCAUGGUGUUCAGCAUGGAGACCAAGACCAUAGAAGAAGUCCUAGUAGUGAGUGAAUACCCGGACAUCUUUCCUGAGGAACUACCUGGAAUGCCCCCUGACAGGGACAUAGAGUUCGUAAUUGAUCUCGUCCCCGGAACCUCCCCUAUAGCCAAGAGACCCUAUAGAAUGGCAGCCUCAGAGUUAGCCGAGCUGAAGAAACAGUUGGGAGAGUUGCAACAGAGUGGCUUUAUCAGGCCCAGCUCAUCCCCGUGGGGAGCCCCCGUGCUUUUUGUCAAGAAGAAGGACAGGAGUAUGAGGAUGUGCGUGGAUUAUCGCGCACUAAAUGAAGUCACCAUUAAAAACAAAUACCCCCUCCCCAGAAUAGAUGACCUAUUCAACCAGCUGAAAGGAGCCAAGUAUUUCUCCAAGAUAGAUCUGAGAUCGGGGUACCAUCAGCUCAAGAUCAAGGAGGGCGACAUCCCGAAGACAGCCUUUGUCACCCGUUAUGGUCAAUUUGAGUUUACAGUGAUGUCCUUUGGAUUGACCAAUGCACCGGCUUAUUUCAUGAAUCUCAUGAACAAGGUGUUUAUGGACGAGUUAGAUAAGUUUGUCGUAGUCUUUAUAGACGACAUACUUAUUUACUCCAAGAGUGUUCAAGAGCAUGAACACCACUUACAGGUGGUCUUGGAAAAGUUGAGAGCCCACCGACUCUAUGCUAAAUUCAGCAAGUGCGAAUUUUGGCUUGAGAAAGUGGCAUUCCUUGGUCAUAUCUUGACCGCGGAAGGAGUAGCAGUUGAUCCUGAGAAGGUGGAAGCCGUCUCCAACUGGCAGCAGCCCACUAAUGUUAGUGAAAUCAGGAGUUUCCUGGGUUUAGCAGGGUAUUAUCGGAGGUUUAUUGAGGGAUUCUCCAAGAUAGCCCGGCCCAUGACAGAGUUGCUCAGAAAGGACAAGAAGUUCACCUGGACCGAGUCAUGUGAGCGGAGUUUCCAAGAGCUGAAGAAGAGAUUGACAACAGCCCCAGUGCUAACCCUGCCAGACAUCCAGUGAGACUUCGUCAUCUACUGCGAUGCAUCCCGACACGGAUUAGGGUGUGUCCUCAUGCAGGAUGGGAAGGUUGUGGCCUAUGCUUCCCGACAACUUAAGCCCCAUGAGCAGAACUACCCAACCCAUGACUUGGAGUUUGCAGCCGUAGUGCAUGCCCUCAAGAUCUGGAGACAUUAUAUGAUUGGGAAUAAGUGUGAAAUCUACACCGACCAUAAAAGCCUAAAGUACAUCUUUACCCAACCCGAUCUGAAUUUAAGGCAGAGGAGGUGGCUAGAGCUGGUAAAGGACUACAACCUAGAAAUCCAUUACCACCCCGGCAAAGCUAAUGUUGUAGCUGAUGCCCUGAGCAGAAAGUCCUAUGGACAGCCCGGACCCGAGAAUGCCCGUCUACGAGAGGAAGUGGCCCGAUUGAAUGUGCACAUCAUUCCCCAGAAUGCUAGCCGUAGGCUAAGUGUCCAGCCCACCUUGGAGGAUAAAAUCCGAGAAGCCCAGGGUUCAGACCAAGACUUAGUAAAAAUCCGCAAGCAGACCGGAGAGAAUAAAGCCCCGAAUUUCAGGGUAGAUGACAAAGGAACCUUGUGGUAUAAGGACAGAAUUUGUGUCCCCAAGGACGGAGAAUUCCGGCAGACCAUCAUGGAUGAAGCCCAUAACUCAGCAUACUCCAUUCACCCCGGAUCCACGAAGAUGUAUAUGGACCUAAGGCAGAAGUACUGGUGGAAUGGAAUGAAGGCAGACAUAGCUCAGUUUGUCGCCCGUUGUGACACCUGCCAAAGAGUCAAGGCCGAGCACUAGAAGCCAGCCGGCUUGCUACAACCCUUGCCUAUCCCGGUUUGGAAGUGGGAUGAGAUCGGCAUGGAUUUUGUAGUAGGCUUGCCCAGGACUUAGAAAGGAAAUGACUCCAUAUGGGUAAUAGUGGACCGACUCACCAAAGUUGCUCACUAUCUGCCCGUACGGACCACCUACGGUGGAGAAAAACUGGCUCGACUCUACGUCGACAACAUAGUGAAGCUGCAUGGUGUGCCCAGCCGGUUCAUCUCGGAUAGAGGAACUCAGUUCACCUCUAGGUUUUGGAAGAGCUUACAUAAAGCCAUGGGCACCAAACUGGAUUUUAGUUCAGCCUAUCACCCCCAGACCAAUGGCCAAACAGAGCGAGUAAAUCAAAUCAUGGAAGAUAUGUUGAGGGCGUGUGUCCUCACCUAUGGAAAGGAUUAGGAACAAAGUUUACCCUAUGCAGAGUUCUCAUACAACAAUAGUUACCAAGCCAGUCUAGGCAUGUCACCAUUUGAGGCUCUUUAUGGUAGAAAGUGUCGGACCCCUUUGAUGUGCUCAGAAGUCGGAGAACGUUCCCUGGUCGGACCAGCUUUUAUCAAGGAAGCAGAAGACCGUGUAGCAGAAAUCCGAGAGAAGCUGAAGGCUGCCCAGUCCAGACAGAAGAGCUACUCGGACAAGAGAAGACGGGAAUUGUGCUUCAAUGAGGGAGAUUUUGUCUACCUCAAGGUAUCCCCGAUUCGGGGUACUCGGAGGUUUCAGGUGCAAGGAAAGCUAGCCCCUCGGUACAUUGGACCUUACCAGGUGUUAAAGAGAGUUGGAGCCGUAGCGUACCGCAUUCAACUGCCCGAAGAAAUGUCGGAUAUACACCCGGUAUUCCAUGUCUCCCAGCUGAGAAAAUGCUUGAGAGUGCCGGAGGAACAAGUACCCGUAGAGACAAUAGACCUACAAAAGGACCUUCGGUAUCAAGAAGUACCUGUCAAGAUUUUGGACACUGUCACCAGAAGGAUAAGAAAUACAGCAGUCCGGAUCUGCAGAGUACAGUGGAGCAGGCAUGGCGAAGAAGAGUCCACGUGGGAACGCGAGGACACGUUAAAGAAGGAAUUUCCCCAUCUCUUCAGGACUCAGUCGAAUCUCGAGGACGAGAUUCAAUUUAAGUGGGGUAGGUUUGUAACGCCCGUAGAAAUCACUAACUAAAUUCACCCGUUAAAAACUGUCUUUAAAACCUUUUUACCGCUGAGCUCCCGGAAAUCAGAAGUCUCCCCGGCGAUUUCGCCAUCCCGGUACCCAUGCCGACCCCCACCUAUCCCUUUUACCCGUGCCCAAAAAUCUCGCCGCGUGCCGUUGUCAGACGCCGUGCGCGUGCCCCGACCGCGUGCCGCGAAUGCCGCCGGUCUCUCCCUUUUCUUUCUCUUUUUCCUCCCCUUUUUCCUUUUCUUUUUUCUCCUUCUUCUUUCUUCCUCUUUCUUCUUCUUCUCCCUCCUUCCUUCUUCUCUCUUCUUCUCUUCCUCCUUCCUGGUGCCCGAACCAAACCGGCCCCAGCUCCUUAACUCCGGCGCCCCUGGCGCCACGCCGCCCGGUCCGCCGCUCG